rnacentral:pre_miRNA from 1 species
GGAAUAUAAGAACCCGUCUCUUAACUUUUAACUAAAAAAGCUAAGAACCGACUCUUAAAUAAGAGUUUUAAGAACCGGUUUUUAACUUUUUUAGUUAAAAGUUAAGAGACGGGUUCUUACAUUCC